AUGUUGGACUGUCUGAAUUUAUCAGUGACUCUAUCUUUUCUGCUUCUUUAUUGCAGGCUUCAAUCUGUGGGGGAAAAAAAAGUUGCUAUUUCUCUUCUUACCAUGUAAAAUGCCAGUGUGAAAAUGUUGCUAGAUAGCAAAGUUCAGGAAAGAAAAUCUGAGUCAUUCCCAUCAGCACAUAAGAUUUACAUUAUUUUGGGGAGUAUUUAUUAGAAAACAUAGUGGAGCUCUUAUCAUAGUCCUUGGUGUGAUGAAAACUUCUGUGGAAGCCCUGAGUAGCAGCAAAGGAAAGGAACGAAGCCAUAUACAAGUUAUCGUGGGUGAUGUGUUUUGAAUGUUGAUGGCAAAAAACUCACAGUAAAUUAUAACUAAGGUAAGUACCCUCUAAAACUGAGGACUUCCUUCCUGAGAGACCAAGAUACUGCCUUGAAGUCUGCAACAGUGGAAAAAUCUGGAUUUUCUCCUUAUUAGGCUUUUUCUUCCAAAUCAGGGAAAACUGAUUUCUUUUAUGGGAAGGGAAGUGAAGAAUGGAAGUAAUAUGAAAAACUGAGAAACCCCAGGUUUCCAUUCCCCCACUGACAUGAUGAUAAUGAAUUUUCUAACAUAAAUUCAUUUUUUUCCACUACUUUCUACUGCACCCCAGGAAUGAAUUUAGUACUAAGGCUCUUUAACAGCUUUGGAAGCCACCUCUGGUGAAGUUUAAACUUGACAAACUUAGUAUCUGGAAGUCCAAAGCUUUGAAAGUUGAGGAAUGUCUAGCUCAGCAAUGGGUACCACCACUGAAAUGAGCAGCUCCUCCCUGCUUUUGGAUGGCAUCUCUGAUUUCAGAGUCCUCACCCCAGGAAUCUGACAGCACUUGCUACAGUUGGAGUGAGAGCUGCCCAUGCUGCAACUUGUGUUCCCGUGCUGAGAAACAAGAGGCAGAGCAGCACUGCCAGCUGGCACUGCUUUACAGCCUCAGAACCUGUUCCAAGAGUCACCAGAGAUGGAGAGCUUUGUGAGGACAGAUAUAUGUCUGUACCUAUGGGAAUCUGUGACAUUUUAAGUUCAGUACUUAAAUACCAGCUUGGUAUCCCUCUGUGGUAUCUGCGCUGCCACUUCCGAAAAAUUGCUCAUCAGAUUCCUAGAGACAUCCUGCUUGAGAUACCACAGACCUCAUUCAUUUCUCCCAAACCCAUCUCCUGGGCAGAGCUGCAAGUUUCUCAAGACUGAAGGAGCUUGACUCCUAAAGCCAAAGCUUUCCACUCCAGGGUUACCAUCUGGGUCCUGAUACUGGCUUGUUCUAGCCUUAAGUAGAGAGAGAUCUCUACUUCAUCCUUUCUCCUCGAAGUCUCAAAGACAUUAUGGAAUAUAACAUUUCAAAGCAUAAGUUUUGUUCUAAAUAUCCCCCUAUUUAUACACAGAUUCUCUCCUCUCUGCAUUAAAC